AUUGAACGCUGGCGGCAGGCUUAACACAUGCAAGUCGAGCGGAGAUGAGGUGCUUGCACCUCAUCUUAGCGGCGGACGGGUGAGUAAUGCUUAGGAAUCUGCCUAUUAGUGGGGGACAACAUUCCGAAAGGAAUGCUAAUACCGCAUACGUCCUACGGGAGAAAGCAGGGGACCUUCGGACCUUGCGCUAAUAGAUGAGCCUAAGUCGGAUUAGCUAGUUGGUGGGGUAAAGGCCUACCAAGGCGACGAUCUGUAGCGGGUCUGAGAGGAUGAUCCGCCACACUGGGACUGAGACACGGCCCAGACUCCUACGGGAGGCAGCAGUGGGGAAUAUUGGACAAUGGGGGGAACCCUGAUCCAGCCAUGCCGCGUGUGUGAAGAAGGCCUUAUGGUUGUAAAGCACUUUAAGCGAGGAGGAGGCUACUGAGACUAAUACUCUUGGAUAGUGGACGUUACUCGCAGAAUAAGCACCGGCUAACUCUGUGCCAGCCGCCGCGGUAACAC
rnacentral:rRNA from 1 species